GUCUAGAUAUUUCACAAAUUGGAGAUAUCAGAACAAACAGCCUUACAUGUAAGUAAAUUCUGAUGAAUAAGUAACAAAAUCAAGUGAAGAAGUUGCAUGGACAUGCACAUCAAUCUUAAAAUAAAAAGGUUGAGUUAGCUCGCAGAAAAACUAUAGAUUUCUAGACUGCCUUCAAUUUUGUUGGCCGUUGUGACUGUUCCUAAGAAAUCAACUCUAAUUAUCGUUAGAUAACUCAGGACGUAGAACCGGACAGCCAGAAGCAUGUGUAAAAGGAUGGGGCCAUUUUGGAAAACGAAUAUGAUACAUGUUAUGUUUCCUAUCGCCUUUGUUCUGAUCAUUGUUCCCGAAAAAAGCGCCUUUGUCCUGUUUCCAAGCCUACAAGAACCUCCAACUUUCUCGCUUGUGCCCGAGCUGCUGGGACCAGGUACAAGGCAGGUGGUAGAACCGACUCUACGCCACGACACAGUAUUUAAUCUUCUUAUGUUCCUGGCACAACAUGGUGCACUGAACGUUAACAUUUCAUCCACACAAACACUUGGCAAAGAUCUGGUAAUCAGAGCGGACAGGUCACGGGCAAAUGUUGUCUCCUUGAAGAACAACGAUGUUGUCAUGACGACCGAAGCGACCAGUCUAAAGCUGCAAAAGACGGUAACUUUGGACAGGAACGCCACGGAAACAGCAAAAAUAGAGGAGGUGGAAGAGGAAACAGAGCCAGCAAGUGAGCCACUACUACCCUUUACUACAACCAGUACUGUUACCACGACGAAUGUAGGAAGCAGUUUGGGUCCAAGACCAAGAAACGGGACUGCCAAUUUAACGGAAUUUCAAGGUGAAAGGUCGACGGUAGGCACGACUCUAACAACGAGCGUGUCUUUCUCUACCGAGGAUCCAGAGGAGAAAGAAGAGGAUGAAGGGGAGGAAGAAGAAGAAGAGGCGGAGGAAGAAGGCGACCUUAACCCGAGUGAGUCAGCCACACCGAUGAACGAGACAGAGGAAGAAGCAGACGGAACGAAUCUCGAGCAGAACUUCGAACAUACCACCGAGAAGCCGGAAGUCGGGGAAGUCAGAUCACUUACAGUUGGAGAAGCAGAAGAGUCAGAUGAGGACAAGGAGAAGCCAGGGGAGACUCCAUUCGUUUCUUUAUCUUUCGGGAGACUUGAGUGCAUUUUGAUGGAGGGUCGCUGCGUACGCUCGUGCUCGGACACCGAUGACAUCAUUCCGGGUGUUGCUUGUGGAUCCGACACGGAAGGUCACGACCUCGUAUGCUGCGACGACUGAUGGCUACUCUCUGGGGAGGUUUCUUUAUUUCACAUAAAAAAAAAGACACUAUGAUAUGAGGCUAGACGCUGGGGUGCGGUAGCAUAUUCAGCUGGCCCCGUAAGCAGGGAGCACCGAUAGCGCCGCUAAAGGUACGAUAUCCCUUUCGUCACGAUAGCGCGGGAAAAUUCGCAUGCAGGGACCGCCGAUAGCCGGCUAUCGUAGCUCUACGGCUAAUGGAGCCUCACCCCUCCGUUAGCUCGCUAUCGUACCGAAAGCACAAGAUGGCGGACUGGAGGUUCGGGGACCGUAUUCGACGCUGUUUGCGCCGCGAACGUGUUUUUCGGGACAGGAAUCCUCCCGUGGACCGGUACAACGACCAAGAACUUUACCAGAAAUGUAAAUUUAGAAGACACGAUGGUUUAGAACUGACAAAUGACAUUGCAGCAGCAAUCGAAUCCUCGAAUCGACGUGCGUCGCUUUCUCCACUGUUACAGGGUUUUCCAGUUGUCCAGGGUGGUGUUGACGGAUAGAAGUUUGUCAACGAUUUGAAGGGACUUGAAUAUUCUGUGGCAGAGCAAAGAAAAAUAUGUAGUAAAUGAUGGUUGCAAGAGUGGCAAUUAGAUUUCUGCAUAUACAUCAAUAGCAUUCUAAAGAAAAGUGAUGUUAUCCACAAACUGAUUUAGUGUAAAGUGUCAG
rnacentral:misc_RNA from 1 species